rnacentral:rRNA from 1 species
UACGAAGGGGGGCUAGCGUUGCUCGGAAUCACUGGGCGUAAAGCGCACGUAGGCGGAUUGUUAAGUCAGGGGUGAAAUCCUGGAGCUCAACUCCAGAACUGCCUUUGAUACUGGCGAUCUCGAGUCCGGGAGAGGUGAGUGGAAUUCCCGGUGUAGCGGUGAAAUGCGCAGAUAUCGGGAGGAACAUCAGUGGCGAAGGCGGCUACCUGGCCCAAUACUGACACUCAGGUGCGACAGCGUGGGGAGCAAACAGG